rnacentral:lncRNA from 10 species
GCCUUCAGAUUUAGAGUGGAAAUAUACUGUCAUCUCUCCUGUGUCUCCAGCUUUCCAUGUGACCAUAGAACCUCUCAGACUCCAUAAUCAUUAACUUGAACAAGGUUACAGGACAAGUAGAAUAUGGCAGAGAUGGAAUUUGAACCCAAGCAAUCAAAUUCAAAAGACUAUACUCUAAAGCAAUGGCACUCAGGGAGUGAUCCAUCAGUGCCUGUGCACAACAAGGUCCACAACCUGGCAUUUAGUGGUAGGCCUGGAGCUGCUCUUGGUCAACAGUGUCAGAAGUUGGGAAGAAGAGCUGCAUAUCAAGCAGAAGAGAAUGAGAAGAAACAGGAACCCACUUCUGCAUCUGUCUAUAGCAACAUCUGACUAUAACGACCUUCAAAAGAUAAUGGCUGUUGCUUCAUUUCCAACCCUCCAAAUCUCAAGUAGCCUUGUGAUUACAUUGGGCUUACCCAGAUCCAGAUCAUCUAGGAUAAUCUCUCUACCCAAGAUCUUUAAUGUAAUCACACCUGCAAAGUCCCUUUUGGGAAGAAAGGUUGUAGAGAAGGUACUGUUCCCAUUGAAAUCAGUAACGGCCAUGUGACCUGAUUCGACUCAUGAAAUGUUGAAAAUGUGGCAGAUGUGUAUGGAGAAUGAGAAAAUUCCUGUUAUAAUAGAGAUGACUUAAAUUAUGAGGAUGGUAAAGAAGAGGAAAUGUUUUCUGUCCUUUCAAGACGUCAAAGCUUAAUUGAACAUGUUUUUAAAAAUGAAAAUAAAAAUCUCAGUGCAAAGAAUACAUUUACUUCUCUAGUAGAGACUAUUAAUUGCAG